GGGCCCGUAGCUCAGCCUGGUUGGAGCGACAGGCUCAUAACCUGUUGAAUGUGAGCGACGCUUACAUUCGGGGAAUGGUCAAGGGUUCAAAUCCCUUCGGGCCCACCA
rnacentral:tRNA from 1 species